UACGUAGGGCGCAAGCGUUGUCCGGAAUUAUUGGGCGUAAAGAGCUCGUAGGCGGCUUGUCACGUCAGAUGUGAAAUUCCCGGGCUUAACCUGGGGGCUGCAUUUGAUACGUGUGAUCUAGAGUGAGGAAGAGGGUCGUGGAAUUCCCAGUGUAGAGGUGAAAUUCGUAGAUAUUGGGAAGAACACCGGUGGCGAAGGCGGCGACCUGGUCCUUGACUGACGCUGAGGCGCGAAAGCGUGGGGAGCAAACAGG
rnacentral:rRNA from 1 species